CUUGAGUGCAGAAGAGGAGAGUGGAAUUCCACGUGUAGCGGUGAAAUGCGUAGAGAUGUGGAGGAACACCAGUGGCGAAGGCGACUCUCUGGUCUGUAACUGACGCUGAGGAGCGAAAGCGUGGGGAGCGAACAGGAUUAGAUACCCUGGUAGUCCACGCCGUAAACGAUGAGUGCUAAGUGUUAGGGGGUUUCCGCCCCUUAGUGCUGCAGCUAACGCAUUAAGCACUCCGCCUGGGGAGUACGGUCGCAAGACUGAAACUCAAAGGAAUUGACGGGGGCCCGCACAAGCGGUGGAGCAUGUGGUUUAAUUCGAAGCAACGCGAAGAACCUUACCAGGUCUUGACAUCCUCUGACAAUCCUAGAGAUAGGACGUCCCCUUCGGGGGCAGAGUGACAGGUGGUGCAUGGUUGUCGUCAGCUCGUGUCGUGAGAUGUUGGGUUAAGUCCCGCAACGAGCGCAACCCUUGAUCUUAGUUGCCAGCAUUCAGUUGGGCACUCUAAGGUGACUGCCGGUGACAAACCGGAGGAAGGUGGGGAUGACGUCAAAUCAUCAUGCCCCUUAUGACCUGGGCUACACACGUGCUACAAUGGACAGAACAAAGGGCAGCGAAACCGCGAGGUUAAGCCAAUCCCACAAAUCUGUUCUCAGUUCGGAUCGCAGUCUGCAACUCNACUGCGUGAAGCUGGAAUCGCUAGUAAUCGCGGAUCAACAUGCCGCGGUGA
rnacentral:rRNA from 1 species